GUGUCAGCAGCCGCGGUAAUACGUAGGGUGCGAGCGUUAAUCGGAAUUACUGGGCGUAAAGCGUGCGCAGGCGGUUUUGUAAGACAGAUGUGAAAUCCCCGGGCUUAACCUGGGACCUGCAUUUGUGACUGCAAGGCUAGAGUACGGUAGAGGGGGAUGGAAUUCCGCGUGUAGCAGUGAAAUGCGUAGAUAUGCGGAGGAACACCGAUGGCGAAGGCAAUCCCCUGGACCUGUACUGACGCUCAUGCACGAAAGCGUGGGGAGCAAACAGGAUUAGAUACCCUGGUAGUCCACGCCCUAAACGAUGUCAACUGGUUGUUGGGUCUUCACUGACUCAGUAACGAAGCUAACGCGUGAAGUUGACCGCCUGGGGAGUACGGCCGCAAGGUUGAAACUUAAAUGAAUUGACGGGG
rnacentral:rRNA from 1 species